AAAAUAUCAGUUCAAGGAAAUUUUAGGAUUGAUUUUUAAGGAAAUAUCGGAGAUGUAUAUAUUUUACUAUGCAUUUUUGCAAUUAAAUGGAUCGAGUUCAAGUAUUUUCCUGAUUCAAAACGUUGUAUCUUUGAAUGGAUAAAUGAAAUUUAAUAUACGGAUCAACAAUAAGUAUAAUAUUAUAGCAAGGAAACUUGGUUAAAAGCCAAGAAAUGUAAAUCACGUAGAUAGUUUGAUCUACACGGAAUCGUAAUGGAUAUGCAAAACUAGAGUAAAAUGCCAGAUACCGU